CAGUCUUAUGUGAGCUCGGCCUUAAGCGCUGGCUCCUGGUAAAUUCAGGGUCCACAGUGAGCUUCGUUACCCGCGCAGGGAGCGAAACGAGGCCUGAGUAGUUCCUGCUCCCUGUGAACUGCUGUGUAACACACAGUUCUGCAAGCUUUGAGCAUAGGAAGUUUUCCAGCAACAGUCCCAGAAGCUGCUGCUCAUUGACAGCUCCCACAGAAUCAUCACUGCUGAGCCCUUAUCAACAGGAAGCCUCAACAAACAUAAAUACAGCAUGAAAUCUCUUCACAACUGGGUGACAGGAUUGAGAGAGCUGGCUCUGCACAAAACUCCCUCCCUUCCCACAGCGCCACUGGUAAGGAUUAAAGAAUGAUGUGGUGAUUUGUAUUUUCUGUAGUGCUUCUGAAGCAUUCAACUUUUUGAGUAAGAUAAGAUUCUGAGAAUCAAAAGAUGUCGUUUCACAUGUAAGUAGUCAAGACUGAUUUAUUCACCAAGUUUAACUAAAACACAAUUGGCUGGCUUUUUAGUUUGAAUUCCAUUUUGAAAGGAGGUCAAUUAAAUGGACUCCAUUAUUGUAUUAACCACUGCAGAUUGUGUAAUUUAUUUCUGCACAGGCACAGUCAGCUACAGAAAACAUGAUUUUAAUUAGCAUAUUGUUGAACAUUAGAAAUAAAGUAGUUUUGGAAAACUUUUCAUACAUAUUCUGCUUACAAAAGCUGAAUUCUCAUUCUGUUCCAAGUUAGCAAACUUGUUUCAAUUUUACUUUAAAAGGGCAGCUAAACUUCUUCCAGAUGUGAGGGAAAUAUUCAGAAUCCAGCAAAAUUCUUAACUAAAGAGCAUGCUAAAAUGCCAAAAUACUCAGUGGUAAAAAUAUAUAAAUUCAGAUAUGUUAAACAUAGAGAUUUUUCCCUAGGAGAAAUUUUAUGUUAAUUUUAAUGUCUCUGAGCUUACACUUUAGCCAGUUGAUGCCCAAACCCUGUUUUACAUUGUUUUAAAGAGCAAUUAAAAUAAAAUGUUUUGAUGGAUGGUUACUGCUAUCUUACUCAUACAGUUCUAGCAAUGGGGUGUCAUUGAGGUUUAAAAUGGGAAUAAAAGGAAAGGAUGACAAAGGGAAUAACUGGCUCUACACAAAAGUUAGGAAUUACUGACUCCAGUGUGAUUGUCUUCUUAAAACAGAAGUACACAAAUAUGAAAAUUUCUACUGAUUUUUUUAUAAUGGCUCAGUGGACUGUUCAAAAUCCUGUUUCUGACUUGCCUCCAUGUUUCUUGGUGAGAAAAUACAAUGCCUUGGGAGCAAAGGUGCAGGUGAAAGUCAUGUCUAGGAAGUGUCCUAGGUCUUGCAGCACUGUGGAUGUACAGUGACAUACCAAAGAACAGGAUUUGGAAGUCAACUGAGGGACAGAAAGAACAUUUAAAUUCUUGAAACUUGCAGUCACUGCCCACAGCAAGAGGCAUAAGAAAGGGUCUGCUUCCAGAACCACAUCACAGCUGGGUCUUUUCUGAUGCCUGUCAGAAAGGGACACCUGAACUCCAGGCAAACCAGUGUCCCCCUUCAGCUAGGGAUAACAUGCAUAAUAUGUAUCACAUCCUGUAGAAAGAGACCAAUGGAUGUA